ensembl:lncRNA
AUUAAAUAAGCUUAUGCUUCUUCCUGCUCCUUUUUGAACAUGAAAGUUAUUUGUUGUUGUGGUUGCUCGUUUUCCUUCUGUUUUGCUUUGUUUAUUUGUCUCUUUUUAAUUCUAUGUUGUUGUACUUUUUCAACAUGUUCAAAAUAAAGAAUCAAUCAAUCAAUCAAUCAAUCAAUCAAUCAAUCAAUCAAUCAAGAUGUUUAGUUUAGUUUUUUUGUUGUUUUUUUCCUGUCCCGUUUGGAUCUUUAGCCAUCAGAAUUGUUGUCUGAAGGCCAAGAAAGAUGCCAAGUGGAUUUAUUUUACCAAGUGGAUCAUCAUGGCCAUAUUGGUCCAUUUGAUUGAUCUUUAUUAUAAUUAUGUAUUUAUUUUAUUUUUUAAAGACAGGACAGACAUGACUGGGGGAUAGGACAGAAGAAUGAAAGAAAGAGAGAGAGAGAAAAACAGAGGGGAGAAGAGACGGUGAGAAAGGGGGGAAGGAAAAAAAAGAAAAACAAACCUGUAUGGAGAUAAAAAACCAGAAGAGAAAAACAACAACAAAGAGCAACAUAAUAAAAACAAUAGAUAACAGUAGAUACUUUUUUAAUUUCACCUGUUGAGAAUGAAAAAAGAAAACAAGCAGAAGAGAACGAGAGCAAUACAAUAAACAACAUCACAAUGAUAUAUGGGAAUAUGACAGUAAAUACUAAAUAUUAAACAUUAUUGUGCAGCACAUAAGAUCAACAGAACACAGUGUGUUGAUCCCCCCGAAGUGGCCCGAGCGAGCCCCAGGCUCCAGACCCCGACAAGCAGCCACCAAGGCCAGCUCCCCCGCUGACAGCUUCACCCAUGAAAUCCUUUUUAAUCAGCUGCAGGUAUUCACACCAACAACCUUCCUGUCAGCUGACACGAAACCACCGAAGCUGGUGCAGGCCCAGGAUCCUGCAGCAGCCACCAGGCCCAGGCUCUUCCAGCAGCCACCAGGCCCAGGCUCUUCCAGCAGCCACCAGGCCCAGGAUCCUGCAGCAGCCACCAGGCCCAGGAUCCUGCAGCAGCCACCAGGCCCAGGCUCUUCCAGCAGCCACCAGGCCCAGGAUCCUCCAGCAGCCACCAGGCCCAGGAUCCUGCAGCAGCCACC